UAAGAGAGUUUGAUCCUGGCUCAGGACGAACGCUGGCGGCGUGCUUAACACAUGCAAGUCGAACGAUGAACUGGAGCUUGCUCCAGGGAUUAGUGGCGAACGGGUGAGUAACACGUGAGUAACCUGCCCUUGACUCUGGGAUAAGCGCUGGAAACGGCGUCUAAUACCGGAUACGAGCUUCAGCCGCAUGGCUAGGAGUUGGAAAGAAUUUCGGUCAAGGAUGGACUCGCGGCCUAUCAGGUUGUUGGUGAGGUAAUGGCUCACCAAGGCGACGACGGGUAGCCGGCCUGAGAGGGUGACCGGCCACACUGGGACUGAGACACGGCCCAGACUCCUAC
rnacentral:rRNA from 16 species